rnacentral:SRP_RNA from 1 species
GCUGGGCAUGGUGGCUCAUGCCUGUAAUCCCAGUACUUUGGGAGGCCGAGGUGGGCGGAUCACCUGAGGUCAGGAGUUCGAGACCAGCCUGACCAACAUGGAGAAACCCCAUCUCUA